AGUUGCUAUGAUAAAUUAUAGUUGCAAUGAUGUAUUAUAGUAGCUAUGAUGUAUUAUAGGUGCUAUGAUGUAUUAUAGUUGCUAUGAUGUAUUAUAGUUGCUAUGAUGUAUUAUAGGUGCUAUGAUGUGUUAUAGUUGCUAUGAUGUAUUAUAGUUGCUAUGAUGUAUUAUAGGUGCUAUGAUGUAUAAAGUGUUUCUCUACUAAUCUGAAAAUCCCUCAAGCCACCUUGACCCCAAAAACCCUUCAGGCAAUCUCAAUAUGAUGUAUCUAUAAUUAGAUUUUAGAAUAGAUACAUUAGUAUUCAGCUGAGAAAUUUUAUUAAUAAAAGAACAAUUGCUUAUUAAAUGUGAAAUGCUUCAAUAGAAACUAAAACUGACAACAUGUGGCUUCCACAAUUUAUUGUGUACGCAAACCUGUCUUGAACAUUAAACAAGUAGAGUAUAUCCAUAAAAGUUAAAAUGCAGUAUUAAAGGCAAUCAAUUAUAUUAAACUUGUAAAAAAUAUAGAGGCAUCUGUUACAUGUAUGGUUACAAGACUAAAUUGCAAUACAUAAGUUCCUGUAAAAUUACUAAUAUUAUUAAAUAAGUCGUGUCAUGCAAAAUGGGUCUUAUGAAAAAUGCGUCUAGUUAAUGAGACUGCCAAACCACGUGUGACUUUAUAG